UACGAAGGGGGCUAGCGUUGUUCGGAAUCACUGGGCGUAAAGGGCGCGUAGGCGGCUUUAUAAGUCGGGGGGGAAAGCCUGUGGCUCAACCACAGAAUUGCCUUCGAUACUGUAGAGCUUGAGACCGGAAGAGGUAAGUGGAACUGCGAGUGUAGAGGUGAAAUUCGUAGAUAUUCGCAAGAACACCAGUGGCGAAGGCGGCUUACUGGUCCGGUUCUGACGCUGAGGCGCGAAAGCGUGGGGAGCAAACAGG
rnacentral:rRNA from 1 species